GGCCUACCAUGCAGUCGAACGGAUCCUUCGGGAUUAGUGGCAGACGGGUGAGUAACGCGUGGGAAGCUACCUUGUGGUAGGGGACAACAGUUGGAAACGACUGCUAAUACCCUAUGAGCCCUAUGGGGGAAAGAUUUAUCGCCAUGAGAUGUGCCCGCGUUAGAUUAGCUAGUUGGUAAGGUAAUGGCUUACCAAGGCGACGAUCUAUAGCUGGUCUGAGAGGAUGAUCAGCCACACUGGGACUGAGACACGGCCCAGACUCCUACGGGAGGCAGCAGUGGGGAAUAUUGGACAAUGGGGGCAACCCUGAUCCAGCCAUGCCGCGUGUGUGAUGACGGCCUUAGGGUUGUAAAGCACUUUCAGCAGUGAAGAUAAUGACAUUAACUGCAGAAGAAGCCCCGGCUAACUUCGUGCCAGCAGCCGCGGUAAUACGAAGGGGGCUAGCGUUGUUCGGAAUCACUGGGCGUAAAGAGUACGUAGGCGGACUGAUAAGUUAGGGGUGAAAUCCCAAGGCUCAACCUUGGAACUGCCUUUGAUACUGUCAGUCUUGAGAUCGAGAGAGGUGAGUGGAACUCCGAGUGUAGAGGUGAAUUCGUAGAUAUUCGGAAGAACACCAGUGGCGAGGCGGCUCACUGGCUCGAUACUGACGCUGAGGUAC
rnacentral:rRNA from 1 species